GGUGCAAGGACACCCUGUGCUACAAGGAUGCUCAGUGUUGCAGGGAUGCUCCAUGUUGUAAGGAUGCUCCUUGUUGUGAGGAUACUCCGUGUUGCAAGGGUGCUCCGUGUUGCAAGGACACUGCACGUCUCAGGGAUGCUCCUUGUUGCAAGGAUGCUCCUUGUUGCAAGGAUGCUCCAUGCUACAAGGAUGCUCCGAGUUGCAAGGAUGCUCCGAGUUGCAAGGAUGCUCCGAGUUGCAAGGAUGCUCCGAGUUGCAAGGACGUCCCUUGCUAUGAGGAUGCUCCGAGUUGCAAGGAUGCUCCGUGUUGCAAGGACGCUCCAUGCUGCAAGCUUGUUCCAUGCUGCAAGGAUACUCUGAGUUAUGACGCUCCUUGUUGCAGGGAUGCUCCUUGUUGCAGGGACGCUCCUUGUUGCAGGGACGCUCCUUGUUGCAGGGAUGCUCCCUGUUGCAAGCUUGUCCCACGCCGUGGGGACGCCCCAUGCCACGGGCGUGCUCCGUGCUGCGGGGCUGGGCUGCGUUGCAAGGACGUCGCGGGCCGUGGGGCUGCUCCGUGCGGGGCUGCUCCAUGCCUUGGGGUCGCUCCGUGCCGCGGGGAUGGUCCCUAAAGGGAUUCGUGCAGGAAUUCUCCGUGCCCAGAGGAUGCUCCGUGCCACGGGGUCGCUCCGUGCACGGCUGCUCUGCGCCACGGGGACGCUCUUGGCCUUCGGGAUGCUCGGUGCCACGGGGACACCCGAUGCCCAGGGGACACCCGAUGCCCAGGGGACGCUCUUGGCCGUGGGGAUGGUCCAUAAAGGGAUUCUCCGUGCAGGAAUUCUCCGUGCCAUGGGGUCGCUCCGUGCCAUGGGGUCGCUCCGUGCCAUGGGGACGUUCCGUGCCAUGGGGACGCUCCGUGCCAUGGGGACGCUCUUGGCCACGGGGACACCCAAAGUCCAGGGGCUGCUCCGUGCCAUGGGGCUGCUCCGUGCCAUGGGGCUGCUCCGUGCCAUGGGGACGCUCCGUGCCAUGGGGACACCCAAAGCCCAGGGGACGCUCCGUGCCAUGGGGCUGCUCCAUUCCCAGGGGAUUCUCCGUGCCCCGGCGCUGCUCCGUUCCCAGGGGACUCCCCGCGCCGCAGCCGUGCCCGGCACCCUCCGGGCCCCCUCGUGCGCCCGCGGCGGGGCC
rnacentral:lncRNA from 1 species